rnacentral:lncRNA from 1 species
UUUUUUUUAAAGUCCGGAGUCUCAUCCCGACUUGUGGGGGAAUCAUAGUCUCCAUCAUCCUUUCCUCACUUGGGACAAUGCUCUAAUAAUGAAGAUCAUCACACUUUUAUUUACUUACAACUCAAGAAUUACAACUCGAUACUUAGAACAAAAUAUGACUCUAUAUGAAUGCCUCUGGCGGUGUAGCGGGAUAUGCAAUGAAUCAAGAGUGACAUGUAUGAAAGAAUUAUCAAGGUGGCUUUGCCACAAAUACAAUGUCAACUGCAUGAUCAUGCAAAAGCAAUAUGACAAUGAUGGAGCGUGUCAUAAUAAACGGAACGGUGGAAAGUUUCAUGGCAAUAUAUCUCAGAAUGGCUAUGGAAAUGCCAUAAUAGUAUGCAUGGUGGAUGUUUGAGGAAGGUAUAUGGUGGGUGUAUGGUACCGGCGAAAGUUGUGCGGCACAAGAGAGGCUAGCAAUGGUGGAAGGGUGAGAGUGCGUAUAAUCCAUGGACUCCACAUUAGUCAUAAAGAACUCAUAUACUUAUUGCAAAAAUCUACAAGUAAUUAAAACAAAGUACUACGCGCAUGCUCCUAGGGGAAGGGUUGGUAGGAGUUAACCAUCGCGCGAUCCCGGCCUCCACACAUAAGGAAGACAAUCAAUAAAUAAAUUGUGCCCCAACUUCAUCACAUAAUGGUUCACCAUACGUGCAUGCUACGGGAAUCACAAACCUUAACACAAGUAUUCCUUAAAUUCACAAUUACCCAACUAUCAUGACUCUAAUUUUACCAUCCUCAUAUCCUCAUAUCUCAAAAUAAUUGUCAAGCAUCAAAUUGAUCAUAGCAUCCAAUUCACUUUUUAUGAUAGUUUUUAUUAUACCCAACUUGGAUGCCCAUCAUUCUAGGACCAAUUUUAUAACCAUAGAAAAUACCAUGCUGUUCUAAAAGAAUCUCAAAAUAAUAUAAGUGAAGCAUGAGAGAUCAACAAUUUCUACAAAAUUAAGCCAUCGCCGUGCUCUAAAAAGAUAUAAGUGAAGUACUAGAGCAAAAUUGUCUAGCUCAAAAGAUAUAAGUGAAGCACAUAGAGUAUUCUAAUAAAUUCCGAAUCAUGUGUGUCUCUCCAAAAAGGUGUGUACAACAAGGAUGAUUGUGGUAAACUAAAAAUCAAAGACUCAUAUCAUACAAGACGCUCCAAGCAAAACACAUAUCAUGUGGUGAAUAAAAAUAUAGCUCCAAGUAAAGUUACCGAUAGACGAAGACGAAAGAGGGGAUGCCUUCCGGGGCAUCCCCAAGCUUAGGCUUUUGGUUUUCAAUUAUCUUGGGGUACCAUGGGCAUCCCCAAGCUUAGGCUCUUGCCACUCCUUAUUCCGUAUUCCAUCAAAUCUUUUCCCAAAACUUGAAAACUUCACAACACAAAACUCAACAGGAAACCUCAUGAGCUCCGUUAGUGCAAGAAAGAAAAACCACCACUUAAGGUACUGUAAUGAACUCAUUCUUUAUUUAUGUUGGUGUUAAACCUACUAUAUUCCAACUUUUCUAUGGUUCAUACCCCCCGAUACUAGCCAUCGAUUCAUCAAAAUAAGCAAACAACACACGAAAAACAGAAUCUGUCAAAAACAGAACAGUCUGUAGCAAUCUGUAACUUUCGAAUACUUCUGGAACUCUAAAAUUACUACCAAAUAGGAAGUCCUAGGUAAUUUGUCUAUUGAUCUACUGCAAAAGAAUCAACUAAAAAUCACGUUUCUGUGAUUUAUUAAAAUUAUUCUCGUGCGUGCAAAAGUUUCUGUUUUUCAGCAGAAUCAAAUUAACUAUCACCGUAGAUUAUCCUAUAGGUUCUACUUGGCACAAACACUAAUUAAAACGUAAAACCACAUAUAAAAAGAUGCUAGAUGAAUUAUUUAUUACUAAACAGAAGCAAAAAGCAAGGAACGGAAAUAAAAUUGGGUUGCCUCCUAACAAGCGCUAUCGUUUAACACCCCUAGCUAGGCAUAAAAGUGAGAAUAGAUCUAAGUAUUGCCAUCUUUGGUAUUCAAUUCAUAAGUGGCUCGCAUAAUAGAUUCAUAAGGUAAUUUGCCUUUAUUUCUAGGAAAAUGUUCCAUGCCUUUCCUUAAUGGAAAUUGGAAUCUAAUAUUUCCUUCCUUCAUAUCAAUAAUUGCACCAAUCGUUCUAAGGAAAGGUCUACCAAGAAUAAUAGGACAUGAAAAAUUGCAAUCUAUAUCAAGAACGAUAAAAUCUAUGGGCACAUAAUUCCUAUUUGCAACAAUAAGAACAUCAUUAAUCCUUCCCAUAGGUUUCUUAAUAGUGGAAUCCGCAAGGUGCAAGUUUAAAGAACAAUCAUCAAAUUCACGAAAAUCUAGCACAUCACAUAAAGUUUUUGGAAUCGUGGAAACACUAGCACCCAAAUCACACAAAGCAUAGCAUUCAUGAUCUUUAAUUUUAAUUUUUAUAGUAGGUUUCCACUUAUCAUAAAGUUUUCUAGGUAUAGAAACUUCCAACUCAAGUUUUUCCUCAUAAGAUUGUAUCAAGGCAUCAACAAUAUGUUUGGUAAAAGCUUUAUUUUGACUAUAAGAAUGAGGAGAAUUCAACACGCAUUGCAACAAGGAAAUACAAUAUACUAAAGAACAAUUAUCAUAUUUAAAUUACUUGUAAUCCAAAAUAGUGGGUUCAAUUGCUAUGUAAAGUUUUGAUCUCUCCAAUCCCAAUUUUACCAAAUUUAGCAUCAAGAUCUAAAAACUCCGAAUUAUUGGGACUCCUUUUAACUAAAGUUGACUCAUCUCCAGUCCCAUCAUUAUCAAGAUUCAUAUUGUAAAACAAAUAUUUAAUAGGGGACACAUCAAUCACUUUUAGAUCUUCAUCUUUAUUUUCAUGGAAACUAGAAGAACACGCUUUUACAAAGCAAUCUUUCUUAGCACGCAUCCUAGCGAUUCUAUCUUUGCACUCAUCAAUGGAAAUUCUCAUGGCUUUGAGAGACUCAUUGAUAUAAUGCUUAGGUGGAAUAGAUCUAAGUUUCAAAUAAUCAACAUCAAGAGAAAUUAUAUCAAUGUUCCUGGCCAAUUCAUCAAGUUUAAGCAAUUUUGCUUCAAGCAAAGCAUUGAAAUUCUUUUAAGAGAUCAUAAAUUCUUUAACACUAUUCUCAAAAUAAGAGGGCAUCUUAUUAAAAUUUCCAUAAGAAUUGUUGUAGGGAUUACCAUAAUUAUUAUAGGAAUUACUAGGGAACGGCCUAGGAUUAAAGUUUCCUCUAUACAUGUUGUUACCAAAAUUAUUCCUACCAACAAAAUUCACAUCCAUAGAUUCAUUAUUAUUCUAAAUCAAAGUAGAUAAAGGCAUAUCAUUAGGAUCAAUAGGAGCACUCUUAUUAGAAAACAAUUUCAUAAGUUCAUCCAUCUUUCCACUCAAAACAUUAAUCUCUUCUAUCGCAUGAACUUUUUUACUAGUAGAUCUUUCGGUGUGCCAUUGAGAAUAAUUAACCAUAAUAUUAUCUAGGAGUUUAGUAGCUUCUCCUAAAGUGAUUUCCAUAAAAGUGCCUCUCGCGGCUGAAUCUAAAAGAUUUCUAGAAGAAAAAUUCAAUCCGGCAUAAAAAAUUUGUAUGAUCAUCCAUAAAUUUAAACCAUGUGUAGGGCAAUUGCGAAUCAUUAAUUUCAUCCUCUCCCAAGAUUGUGCAACAUGUUCAUGAUCAAGUUGCUUAAAAUUCAUAAUAUCGUUCCUAAGGGAGAUGAUCUUAGCGGGAGGAAAAUACUUAGAGGUAAAAGCAUCUUUGCACUUAUUCCAUGAAUCAAUACUAUUUUUAGGCAAAGACGAAAACCAAGUUUUAGCACAAUCUCUAAGUGAAAACGGAAAUAACUUCAAUUUAACAAUAUCAUUAUCUGUGUCUUUCUUCUUUUGCAUAUCACACAAAUCAACAAAGUUGUUUAGAUGAGUAGAGCCAUCUUCACUAUGAAGGCCGGAGAAUUGAUCCUUCAUAAAAAGAUUCAACAAAGCAGCAUUGAUUUCACAAGAUUCAGCAUCAUUAAGAGGAGCAAUCGGAGUGCUAAGGGAAUCAUUGUUGUUGGUAUUGGAAAAGUCACACAAUUUAGUAUUAUCUUGAGCCAUCGUGACAAGCAAUCCAACACACAAGCACACAAGAGGCAAGCGAAAAAGAGAGGCGAACGGGAAAGAGAGGGCGAAUAAAACGGAAAGGGCGAAGUGGGGGAGAGGAAAACGACAGUCAAAUGGCAAAUAAUGUAAUGCAAGGGAGAUGAUUUUGUGAUGGGUAAUUAGUAUGUCUUGACUUGAGCAAAGACCUCCCCAGCAACAGCGCCAGAAAUCCUUCUUGCUACCUCUUGAGCACUGCGUUGGUUUUCCCUUGAAGAGGAAAGAGUGAUGCAGCAAAGUAGCGUAAGUAUUUCCCUCAGUUUUUGAGAACCAAGGUAUCAAUCCAGUAGGAGGCUCCUCACAAGUCCCUCGCACCUACACAAACAAACAAGAACCUCGCAACCAACGCGAUAAAGUGGUUGUCAAUCCCUUCAUGGUAACUUGCUGAAAAUGAGAUCUAAUAGAGAUAAUAAGAUAAGAUAAGAUAAAUAUUUUUGGUAUUUUUAUGAUAUAGAUUGGAAAGUAAAGAUUGCAAAAUAAAGUAGAUUGGAAACUUAUAUGAUAAAAGAUAGCCCCGGGGGGCAUAGGUUUCACUAGUGGCUUCUCUCAAGAUAGCAUAAGUAUUACGGUGGGUGAACAAAUUACUGUCGAGCAAUUGAUAGAAAAAUUCAUAGUUAUGAGAUUAUCUAGGCAUGAUCAUGUAUAUAGGCAUCACGUCCGUGACAAGUAGAUCAAAACGAUUCUGCAUCUAUUACUAUUACUCCACACAUCGACCGCUAUCCAGCAUGCAUCUAGAGUAUUAAGUUCAUAAGAACAGAGUAACGCAUUAGGAAAGAUGACAUGAUGUAGAGGGAUAAACUCAAACAAUAUGAUAUAAACCCCAUCUUUUCAUCCUCUAUAGCAACAAUACAAUACGUGCCUUGCUGCCCCUGUUGUCACUGGGAAAGGACACCGCAAGAUUGAACCCAAAGCUAAGCACUUCUCCCAUUGCAAGAAAGAUCAAUCUAGUAGGCCAAACCAAACUGAUAAUUCGAAGAGACUUGCGAAGAUAACCAAUCAUACAUAAAAGAAUUCAGAGGAGAUUCAAAUACUUCUCAUAGAUAAACUUGAUCAUAAACGCACAAUUCAUCGUAUCUCAACAAACCCACCGCAAAAAGAGUUACAUCGAAUAGAUCUCCAAGAAGAUCGAGGAGAACUUUGUAUUAAGAAUCAAAGAGAGAGAAUAAGCCAUCUAGCUAAUAACUAUGGACCCGAAGGUCUAUGGUAAACUACUCACAACUCAUCGGAGAGGCCUUGGAGAUGAUGUAGAGGCCCUCUGUGGUCAAUUCCCCCUCCGGCGGAGCGUCGGCGAAGGCUCCAAGAUGGGCUCUCGCGGAUACAGAAGGUUGCGGUGGUGGAAUUAGGGUUUCGUGGUGCUCCUGGAUGUUCUCGGGGUACGUGGAUAUAUAUAGGAGGAAGAAGUAGGCCGGUGGAGCCACAAGGGGCCCACAAGGGUGGGGGGCGCGCCCACCCUCCUAGGGUGUGCCGGGCACCCUCGUGGCCGCCUCGUUUACUUCUUGGCGUCCACUCCAAGUCUCCUGGUUUGCAUUUGUUCCAAAAAGAUCGGUCCCGAAGGUUUCAUCCUGUUUGGACUCCGGUUGAUAUUCCUUUUCUUCGAAACACUGAAAUAGGCAAAAAAACAGCAAUUCGGGUUGGGCCUCCGGUUAGUAGGUUAGUCCCAAAAAUGAUAUAAAAGUGUAAAGUAAAGUCCAUAAACAUCCAAAACAGGUAAUAUAAUAUCAUGGAACAAUCAAAAAUUAUAGAUACGUUGGAGACGUAUCAUAUUGCUCCAAUAUGACAUUGCAAAGUAGUGCCCAAAUAGCAUUUAAUUUAGUUGUGUUUUCUCACCAAUGCGGAUACUAUCUUUCCUUCACUUUUUCUUCAAAAGAUUUUGGUCUACUAAAGGUGUAUUUUUUGCGGUGCCCAACAAGAAUUCUACAUAGUUUAUUUAUGGAUGGUUCCGUUUUUUGUUACUAACUCUAGCUGACAUAUUUAUAGCCUCUUGAUGUAGCCAUGUGAUCAUUCUUAUAAGUAUAUUGUUGCUUUUUUCUCGAAAUGCGAGAGAGUUGUGUAUCCUUGCACACGCUCGCAAGCCCCACUAAGUAACUGAAACCGACGCGCCACAAGCAAGAGAAAAGAUGUCGUGCACUCAAAAACCAUGACCACGACUAAGACCCUCCCCUAAUCAGUCUAGCCAAGAGCUUAGCUCAUCCAAGGAUCAAAGUUGUGCUUCAUCUUUAAUGGCCAGCGGCACCAUUUGGAUAUUAGGGGGACUCAUGUUGAAGACACAAUAAUUUCAAGGCUUCCAAUCAUCCAACAAAGAGAGAUUAAGGAGUUUUACCCACCCUUCUUAGAGCAUUGCACCAAAGAUAUGGUUCUGGACCACCAAUCAAACAAAUUAACAGCAGGUGAUUGGGGCGCCAAGUCAGGGUGGCCAAGAUGUCUGUACAGGAGGGGCCAUGCAUCUCUUACAAACACACAAGAGGAAAGGAUGUGAUAUAAAUCAUUUCCACUUCCUAAUUGCAGAACGAACAACAAUCUAGAUGUGGCAAACCCCUCCAAGAAAGGCGGCCAACCGUCCAACACCUAUUAUGGGAAACCAACCAUAGGAAGAAAUGGCAUUUCUUAGGGGGUGGGGGCAUGACUUCGAAAUCAAUCUCCAAUGAUCUAGACCAACUGAACCAAAAAUAACGCUCCAUAGGCCGAUUUUGUCGAAUAUUGACCAACCCCGGCUAAUCUCCAAGAAUGCUUAUCUUGAAUGUCAUUUUGGAUCUCCACUUCGGACACAAGAUCCCAUAUAUCUAAUAUUCAGAUAAAGCAGCCACUGAGAGAGCGCCUUGAAUAUCAUGCACCCAACAACGUCCAACCAACGCAUCAUGGAUCAUACGGCUAUUAGCCCGAUGCUUAGGGACGAGGGAAAAAAGGUGCAAUCAACAAUGGACUACCCCUCCAACCAUUUGUCCAUCCAGAACAUAGUGUUACAAUGAUCACCCACCACCGAGAUAAUAGUGAUGGAGAAGAGAGCUUUGACCAAGGAUGAACUUGUAUAGUGAACCUAGCCCAAGGUUUAUCUGGAUGGAUUUUAUGCAGCCAUAGCCAUCGCAUUCACAAAUCACAAGGCCCAACCUUUUUUAAAUCAAUCGAGACCGCCAAGCUCCUUGGAACGUCAAACCUUCAACCAUGCAAUCAAACAAUGACCACUUGUAUAUUGUGCUUAAUUUAGGAGUUGUAUUUAUCAACUUUAGAGUUGUAUUUAUCUUACAUGAAUGACCCUUAUUUCUACAUAAUAAAGACUCACAAUACUGAAGUUCUCCAUGUACUCAACUGGAGAGCCAAUAGGGUAUGUGAUGGUCUGUAGAAGUUUGCCGAAUCAAAUUUAAGCAUGAUUAUAUACAUGUUAUUCUGAAAUCUUUACAACUUGGUGAUACGUCUUCAACGUAUCUAUAAUUUUUUAUUGUUCCAUGCUAUUAUAUUACCCGUUUUGGAUGUUUAUGGGCUGUAAUUUACACUUUUAUAUCAUCUUUGGGACUAACCUACUAACCGGAGGCCCAACCCGUAUUGCUGUUUUUUUGCCUAUUUCAGUGUUUCGAAGAACAGGAAUAUCAAACGGAGUCCAAACGGAAUGAAACCUUCGGGAGCGAUCUUUUUGGAACAAACGUGAUCCAGAGGACUUGGGCUGCAAGUCAAGAAACAAUCGAGGAGGCCACGAGGGUGGAGCCCUCCCCCCUACUGGGCGCACCCCCUAUCUCGUGGGCCCCUCGGGCGUCCAUCGACCUACUUCUUCCUCCUAUAUAUACCCACGUAUCCCGAGAACAUCAGAGGUGACCACGAAAAACUAUUUCCACCACCGUAACCUUCUGUAUCCGCGAGAUCCCAUCUUGGAGCCUUCGCCAAUGCUCCGCCGGAGGGGGAAUCAACCAUGGAGGGCUUCUACAUCAACACCAUAGCCUCUCUGAUGAGUUGUGAGUAGUUUACCAUAGACCUUUCGGUCCAUAGUUAUUAGCUAGAUGGCUUCUUCUCUCUCUUUGAAUCUCAAUACCAUGUUCUCCUUGAUCUUCUUGGAGAUCUAUUUGAUGUAACUCUUUUUGCGGUGUGUUUGUCGAGAUCCGAUGAAUUGUGGGUUUAUGAUCAAGUUUAUCUAUGAGAAAUAUUUGAAUCUCCUCUGAAUUCUUUUCUCUGUGAUUAAGUUAUCUUUGCAAGUCACUUCGAAUUAUCAGUUUGCUUUGGCCUACUAGAUUGAUCUAUCUUGCAAUGGGAGAAGUGCUUAGCUUUGGGUUCAAUCUUGUGGUGUCCUUUCCCAGUGACAGCAGGGGCAGUAAGGCACGUAUUGUAUUGUUGCCAUCGAGGAUAAAAAGAUGGGGUUUAUAUCAUAUUGCAUGAGUUUAUCCCUCUACAUCAUGUUAUCUUUCUUAAUGCGUUACUCUGUUCUUUAUGAACUUAAUACUCUAGAUGCAUGCUGGAUAGCAGUCGAUGUGUGGAGUAAUAGUAGUAGAUGCAGGCAGGAGUUGGUCUACUUGUCACGGAUGUGAUGCCUAUAUACAUGAUCAUGCCUAGAUAAUCUCAUAAUUAUUCUCUUUUCUAUCAAUUGCUCGAAAGUAAUUUGUUCACCCACCGUAAUAUUUAUGCUAGCUUGAGAGAAGCCACUAGUGAAACCUAUGGCCCCCGGGUCUAUCUUUUAUCAUAUAAGCUUUCAAGCUACUUUUAUUUUCAUCUUUACUUUUCCAAUCUAUAUUACAAAAUACCAAAAAUAUAUUUACCUUAUCAUAUUAUCUCUAUCAGAUCUCACUUUCGAAAGUGGCCAUGAAGGGAUUGACAACCCCUUUAUCGCGUUGGUUGUGAGCUCUUAUUUGUUUGUGUAGGUGUGUGGGACUUUUGAGGAGCCUCCUACUGGAUUGAUACCUUGGUUCUCAAAAACUGAGGGAAAUACUUACGCUACUAUUGCUGCAUCACCCUUUCCUCUUCAAGGAAAACCAACGCAAGCUCAAGACGUAGCAAGAAGGAUUUCUGGCGCUGUUGCCGGGGAGGUCUUCGCUCAAGUCAAGACAUACCAAGUACCCAUCACAAACUCAUCUCCCUCGCAUUUACAUUAUUUUCCAUUUGCCUCUCGUUUUCCUCUCUCCCACUUCACCCUUGCCGUUUUAUUCGCCCUCUCUUUCCCAAUCUCCUCUCUCUUUCGCUUGUCCUUUUUGUGUGCUUGUUUGCCCUUAUGGCUUUGCCUAAGAACAUCGACCUUCAUCUUAGAAGGUUGGAAGAGAUUGAAUCAAACAUUAGAAGUUUUAUGACUCUACAAAGAGCAUAAUAAUUAUUUCCGAAAAGAGCUUAAAGAACAAAAAAGUUUUAUGGGGUUUAUGAACAAAGAGCUUGAUGAUAUGUCUAAAGAAUUUUAUUGUUUGAACUCUCAAAUUACUCUACUUGAAAAUUCUAUAGCUCAAAUUUCUGAUAAGCAAGCUACCUUAGUAAAUAAGAUGGCUGCCAACCCAGAAAAGUUAGAUGAAAAUAAUGAUGAAGAUCUUAAAGUUAUUGAUGUGUCCCCUAUUUGAUCUUUGUUUUGUAAUAUGAAUCUUAAUAAUGAUGGGACUGGAGAUGAGUCAACUUUAGUUAAAAGGCGUCCCAAUGAUUCGGAGUUUUUAGAUCUUGAUGCUAAAUUUGGUAAAAGUGGGAUUGGAGAGGUCGAGACUUUAAAUAGCAUUGAACCCACUAUCUUGGAUUUCAAGGAAUUUAAUUAUGAUAAUUGUUCUUUAGAAGAUUGUAUUUCCUUGUUGCAAUGCGUUGUGAAUUCUCCUCAUGCUUAUAGUCAAAAUAAAGCUUUUACCAAACAUAUUGUUGAUGCCUUGCUGCAAUCUUUUGAUAAUAAACUUAAUUUGGAAGUUUCUAUACCUAGAAAAAUUUAUGAUGAGUGGGACCUACUAUAAAGAUUAAAUUUAAAGAUCAUGAGUGUUAUGCUUUAUAUGAUUUUGGUGCUAGUGUUUCCACGAUUCCGAAAACUUUAUGUGAUAUUCUAGGUUUCCAUGAUCUUGAUGAUUGCUCUUUAAAUUUGCACCUUGCGGAUUCCACCAUUAAAAAGCCAAUGGAAAGGAUCAAUGAUGUUCUCAUUGUUGCAAAUAGAAAUUUGGUGCCCGUAGAUUUUAUCGUUCUUGAUAUAGAUUGCAAUCUUUCUUGCCCUAUUAUUCUUGGUAGACCUUUCCUUAGAACGAUUGGUGCGAUUAUUGAUAUGAAGAAAGAGAAUAUUAGAUUCCAAUUUCCAUUAAGGAAAGGCAUGGAGCACUUUCCAAGAAAGAAAGUUAAAUUAUCUUAUGAAUCUAUCAUGCAAGCUACUUAUGAAUUGAGUGCCAAAGAUGGCACCACUUAGAUCUAUCCUCGCUUUUAUGCCUGGCUAGGGGCGUUAAAUGAUAGCGCUAGUUGGGAGGCAACCCAAUUUUUUUUAUGUUUUUUGUUUUUAUUUAUGUUUAGUAAUAAAUUUUGCAUCUACCUUCUGUUUAGAUGUGUUUUUAUGUUUUAAUUAGUGUUUGUGCCAAGUAGAACCUAUAGGAUAACCUAUGGUGAUAGUUAAUUUGAUUCUGCUGAAAAACAGAAACUUUGCGCGCACAAAAAUAAUUUUAGUAAUUCACAGAAACAUGCUUUUGCGUUGAUUCUUUUUGCUGUAGAUCAAUAGACAAAUUUCCCAGGACUUCAUAUUUUGGUAGGAUUUUUAAAGUUCCAGACGUAUUCGAGAGUUACAGAUUGCUACAGACUGUUCUGUUUUUGACAGAUUCUAUUUUCCGUGUGUUGUUUGCUUAUUUUGAUGCAUCUAUGGCUAGUAUGUAAAGGUAUGAACCAUAGAGAACUUGGAAUACAGUAGGUUUAACACCAAUAUAAAUAAAGAAUGAGUUCAUUACAGUACCUUAUGUGGUGGUUUUUCUUUCUUUCACUAACGGAGCUUAUGAAAUUUCCUGUUAAGUUUUGUGUUGUGAAGUUUUCAAGUUUUGGGUAAAGAUUUGAUGGACUAUGGGAUAAGGAGUGGCAAAAGCCUAGGCUUGGGGAUGCCCUGGAAGGCAUCCCCUCUUUCAUCUUCGUUUAUAGGUAACUUUACUUUGAGCUAUAUUUUUAUUUGCGACAUGUUAUGUGUUUUGCUUGGAGCGUCUUGUAUGAUAUUAGUGUUUGCUUUUUAGUUUACCACAAUCAUCCUUGCUGCACACACCUUUGCAAGUCUCUUCGAAUUAUCAGUUUGGUUUGGCCUACUAGAUUGAUCUUUCUUGCAAUGGGAGAAGUGCUUAGCUUUGGGUUCAACCUUGCGGUGUCCUUUCCCAGUGACAGCAGGGGCAGCAAGGCACAUAUUGUAUUGUUGCCAUCGAGGAUAAAAAGAUGGGGUUCAUAUCAUAUUGCAUGAGUUUAUCCCUCUACAUCAUGUCAUCUUUCUUAAUGCGUUACUCUGUUCUUUAUGAACUUAAUACUCUAGAUGCAUGCUGGAUAACGGUCGAUGUGUGGAGUAAUAGUAGUAGAUGCAGCCAGGAGUCGGUCUACAUGUCACGGACGUGAUGCCUAUAUACAUGAUCAUGCCUAGAUAAUCUCAUAAUUAUUCGCUUUUCUAUCAAUUGCUCGACAGUAAUUUGUUCACCCACCGUAAUAUUUAUGCUAUCUUGAGAGAAGCCACUAGUGAAACCUAUGGCCCCCAGGUCUAUCUUUUAUCAUAUAAGCUUUCAAUCUACUUUUAUUUGCAUCUUUACUUUUCCAAUCUAUAUUACAAAAUACCAAAAAUAUAUUUACCUUAUCAUAUUAUCUCUAUCAGAUCUCACUUUCGCAAGUGGCCGUGAAGGGAUUGACAACCCCUUUAUCGCGUUGGUUGCGAGUUCUUGUUUGUUUGUGUAGGUGCGUGGGACUUUUGAGGAGCCUCAUACUGGAUUGAUACCUUGGUUCUCAAAAACUGAGGGAAAUACUUAUGCUACUAUUGAUNNNNNNNNNNNNNNNNNNNNNNNNNNNNNNNNNNNNNNNNNNNNNNNNNNNNNNNNNNNNNNNNNNNNNNNNNNNNNNNNNNNNNNNNNNNNNNNNNNNNNNNNNNNNNNNNNNNNNNNNNNNNNNNNNNNNNNNNNNNNNNNNNNNNNNNNNNNNNNNNNNNNNNNNNNNNNNNNNNNNNNNNNNNNNNNNNNNNNNNNNNNNNNNNNNNNNNNNNNNNNNNNNNNNNNNNNNNNNNNNNNNNNNNNNNNNNNNNNNNNNNNNNNNNNNNNNNNNNNNNNNNNNNNCUCCACAUAGCUCUGCUAAUUUCUUUUAAAUUACUUAUUGUGAUAAGUCUGAAUGCUUAAUAGAGUGAUAUCUCUUGUGCUACAUAUCACAUUGAAGGCAUGAAUUCAAGAUUUUACCCUGGUCCAAGAAAAUGGUAUAUUGACAAUGAGCACAACUUCUUCGAAAGUUUGUUCCAUUGGAAGAUCCAACUGUAGGUCCAGUAUGUCCUUGGGAAAAUCAUCUUCUUGUAAUAAGGAUAUAUCUGGCUGAGAGGUUGGCAAGUCACCUGGGUGCUUCCCUGUCAUGACCUUCAGUGCAAAAAUGUUGAAGUCUUAAAAUCACACUUCUCUGUUACCCUCAUUGUGUAUGUGAAUUCUGCAAGAAAACUACUAGAACCAUCAUUUGUUAGUGUGCUGCUCCAAUAUGGCAUUGCUAAGUAACGCAUGAAUUACGCAAUGACAUUGAUCCAAAUAGCAUUUCCUGAAUUGUGUUUUCUCACUAAUCAUAAUGUUAUUUUCCUUCACAUUUAUUCAAAAACUUUUGGAUUGCUAAAGGUGUUUUUCUCGAUGCCCAACAAGAAUUGUACAUAAUCAAAUUGUGUGAAGGAGCUUGAAAAGGUACUUUACUUAGGUGGAAGUCCAUUCAAAUUUUUGUAAAUAUUUAUGGUCUCUUGAUGUAGCCAUGUGAUCAUUCAUUUAAGUAUAUUAUCCUUAAUUUAGGAGUUGCAUUUAUCAAGUUUAGAUUUGUAUUUAUCUAGCAUGAAUGUCCCUUCUUUGUACACAGGAAAGGCUAAAAAUACCAAAGCUUUUGAUGAACUCGAUUGGGGAGCCAACACUCCAAUUACUUUGUGCUGGCUCUGGAGUUCACUCUCCCACCAUAAACCAUGUAACAUAAGGAAACAAAAAUGAAAAAAGAGCAGCAACAUUCUUCCUUGAUGAAUGUUUUAGAAAAAUAGAUGCCAUGUCUCCAAUUGAGAAUGUUUUUUACUUCAAAGAAUCGGGAGUACCCAAGAUGGGAGCACCUGAUACUUUCCCUAGGCUUAUUGUUCUUAUACAAAGGUAUAUAAUUAAUGGGCCAAAUUCCAGGUUGGUUCAUGGACCAGCUUGGCCACCCUCUAGCUACGCCCCUCACUGACAUUUAUAGCCCCUUGAUUUAGCCAUGUGAUUGUUCAUUUAAGUAUGUUGUGCUUAAUUUAGGAGUUGUAUUUAUGUCACAUGAAUGUACCUUUUUUGUACAUAGAAAAGGCUCAAAAUGUUGAAGUUCUCCAUGAACUCAAUUUGAGAGCCAAUAGUGUGUGAUUGUUUGUACAAGUUUGUUUCAAAUAAAUUUAAGCAUGGUUAUAGAGAUGUACUUUGUUUUAUGGGGCAUCAUCAAGAGGAAGGGUGCUCCUCCAAUUUCGUUAAGAAGAAUAGAGUUGCCCCUUUUUAUUAGAAAAAAUUGAUCAGAAACCACACAACAACAUGAUUGAUUAGGGGACAAUCACGAGCAGACCCUUACCAAAAUAGGACCUCCACCAAACAAAAACCAACAACCGGGGGCCAAAGACCCAGAGUAGGAAUGAAGAAGCUAUUCGAUAACACCUCCAAGGAGUAAAUGGCACCCACGAGCGUCAAUGUCACCGGCACCAACCCCCAUUGGAAAAAGGCUUUCGUCUAGAGCCCCAUGAUACGUCUCCAACGUAUCUAUAAUUUUUGAUUGUUCCAUGCUAUUAUAUUAUCUGUUUUAAAAUGAUUAUGGGCUUUAUUAUACACUUUUAUAUCAUUUUUGGGACUAACCUACUAACCGGAGGCCCAGCCCAUAUUGCUGUUUUAUUGCCUGUUUCAGUAUUUCGAAGAGAAGGAAUAUCAAACGGAGUCCAAACGGAAUGAAACCUUCGGCAACGUGAUUUUUUGGAAGAAUAUCAUCCUGGAGACGUGGAGUUCAAGUCAGAAGAUACUCGAGGACUCCACGAGAUAGGAGGGCGCGCCCCCCUGUAGGGUGCGCCCCCCUGUCUCGUAGGCCCCUCGAGCACCCCCUGACCGACUUCUUUCGCCUAUAUAGUCCCACGUACCCUAAAAACAUCCACGGAUCAGGAUAGAUUGGGAGUUCCGCCGCUGCAAGCCUCUGUAGCCACCAAACCUCUCGGGAGCCCUUCCCGGCACCCUGCCGGAGGGGGGAUCCUUCACCGGUGGUCAUCUUCAUCAUCCCGGCGCUCUCCAUGACGAAGAGGGAGUAGUUCACCCUCGGGGCUGAGGGUAUGUACCAGUAGCUAUGUGUUUGAUCUCUCUCUCUCUCUCUCGUGUUCUCUCUCGUGUUCCCUCUAUGGCACGAUCUUGAUGUAUCACGAGCUUUGCUAUUGUAGUUGGAUCUUAUGAUAUUUCUCCCCCUCUACUCUCUUGUGAUGAAUUGAGUUUUCCCCUUUGAAGUUAUCUUAUCGGAUUGAGUCUUUUAUGAGAACACUUAUGUAUGUCUUGUCGUGCUUAUCUGUGGUGACAAUGGGAUAUCAUGUGCCUCUUGAUGUAUGUUUUGGUGACCAACUUGCGGGUUCCGCCCAUGAACCUAUGCAUAGGGGUUGGCACACGUUCUUGACUCUCCGGUAGAAACUUUGGGACACUCUUUGAAGUACUUUGUGUUGGUUGAAUAGAUGAAUCUGAGAUUGUGUGAUGCAUAUCGUAUAAUCAUGCCCACGGAUACUUGAGGUGACAAUGGAGUAUCUAGGUGACAUUAGGGUUUUGGUUGAUUUGUGUCUUAAGGUGUUAUUCUAGUACGAACUCUUUUAUAGAUCGAUCCGAAAGAAUAACUUUGAGGUGGUUUCGUACCCUACCAUAAUCUCUACGUUUGUUCUCCGCUAUUAGUGGCUUUGGAGUGACUCUUUGUUGCAUGUUGAGGGAUUGUUAUAUGAUCUAUCUAUGUUAUUAUUGUUGAGAGAACUUGCACUAGUGAAAGUAUGAACCCUAGGCCUUGUUUCCUAUCAUUGCAAUACCGUUUACGCUCACUUUUAUCGCUCGCUACCUUGCUGUUUUUAUUAUUUCAGAUUACAAAUACCUUUAUCUACUAUCUAUUUUGCACUUGUAUCACCAUCUCUUCGCUGAACUAGUGCACUUAUACAAUUUACCAUUGUAUUGGGUGUGUUGGGGACACAAGAGACUCUUUGUUAUUUGGUGGCAGGGUUGUUUGAGAGAGACCAUCUUCAUCCUACGCCUCCUACGGAUUGAUAAACCUUAGGUCAUCCACUUGAGGGAAAUUUGCUACUGUCCUACAAACUUGUGCACUUGCAAACCCAACAACGUCUACAAGAAGAAGGUUGUGUAGUAGACAUCACCCCACACACUACAACCCCACAGAACCCUACAGGAGGGGAUCCGGCCACGGGAACAGCAUCCACUACUAAGAUCUAGCCAACCAUGACCUAGUGCCAAGGUGAACUCUACUAUGCUACUUGUGAGCUGCGUUGGAAUUUACUCGAAGAGGAGAGGAUGAAGCAGUAAUUCCCUCAGUUAAGAACCAAGAUUAUCAAUCCAGUAGGAGAACCACACAGAACCUCGUUAGCAGCACCUGCACACACAAAAACAAAUAUUUGCACCCAGCGCAAACAAGAGGGUUGUCAAUCCCCUCGGCGGUUACUUGCAAGGAUUAAAUCUCGUAGUGGAAGAUAAAUAAAUUAUAAACAUAAAAUAAAAUAAAAUAGAAAAUUGCAGCAAGGUAUUUUUGUGUUUUUAUAUAUGAUAAAAGUAGACCUGGGGGCCAUAGUUUUCACUAGAGGCUUCUCUCUCGAGCACAUAGCAUACGGUGGGUGAAUAAAUUAAUGUUGGGCAAUUGAUAGAAAAUGCAUAGUUAUAACGAUAUUCAAGGCAAUGAUCAUGUAUAUAGGCAUCACAUCCGAGACUAGACCGACUCAUGCCUGCAUCUACUACUAUUACUCCACCCAUCGACCGUAUCCAGCAUGCAUCUAGGAUAUUAAGUAUAAAACAGAGUAACGCCUUAAGCAAGAUGACAUGAUGUAGACAAAGUAAACUCAACUAAUAUGAAUAAACCCCAUCGUUUUAUCCUUAAUGACAGCAAUACAAAUAUGUGUCUUGUCCCCUACUUUGUCACUGGGAUAGAGCACCGCAAGAUUGAACCCACCACAAAGCACCUCUCCCAUUGCAAGAUAAAUCAAUCUAGUUGGCCAAACCAAACGGAUAGAUCGGACAAAAAUGCAAAGUUAUAACAAUCAUGCAUAAUAAAGUACAGAGAAGACUCAACUAAUAUUCAUAAAUAAUCUGAUCAUAAACUCACAAUUCAUCGGAUCCCAAAAUACACGCCGCAAAAGAAGAUUACAUCGGAUAGAACUCCAAGAAGUUCGAGGAGCACAUGGUACUGAAGAUCAAAGAGAGAGAAGAAGUCAUCUAGCUACUAGUUAUGGACCUGUAGGUCUGUGAUGAACUACUCACGCAUCACCCGUAGGGCAGCAAGGAUGAUGUAGAAGCCCUUCGUGAUCGAUUCCCCCUCUGGCAAAGUACCGGAGAAGGGCCCCAGAUGUGAUCGCAGAAGAACAUAAGCUUGCGGCAGCGAAAAAAAAGUUUGGGUGGCCCUCUGAUAUAUUGAGAAUAUUUGGGAAUUUAAGAGGCGAAAUUAGGUCAAGAGGUGCCACAAGGGGCUCACAAGCUCAGGGGGCGCGCCUGGUGAGCUUGUCACUCUGGUCUUCUCCCGAGCCUUCAUGGGUCCCUUCUAGUCCAUAAAAAAAUCACCGUAAAGUUUUAUCGUGUUUGGACUCCGUUUGAUAUUGAUUUUCUAAAAAGCCAAAAACAAACAAAACACAGCAGGUGGCACUAGGUACUAGGUUAAUAGGUUAGGCCCAAAAAUGAUAUAAAAUUGCAUAUAAAACAUCCAAGAUUGAUACUAUAAUAGCAUGGAACAAUCAAAAAUUAUAGAUAUGUUGGAGACUAUCAUUCUACAACGCCUCCGAGAAGGAAAAAGAUGCACAUGGACGCCUUGGCCACGGAUACCGACCCCCAUCAGCCAAAGCUUUUGCCCAAAGCCAAGGAACCCUCCACCUCGACGAGCCUCGUGGGAGGAGGCUCAGCCAUAGAAAAACUCCAUGGUGAAGCCCGGGGUGCCGGUGACAGACAAGCAAGCUAGAGAAAAGAGCUGACACCCCGACGCCUCACCAACAGCAGCAUGUGCGCCACGGCAUCAUAGACUAGCCACGUCAGAGACCACCCGCACCGACACCUCGGGAACGCAUUCGUGAUGACAUCAUUCGUCGAUGCACGCAUUGCUCAGCCCUGUAUCCAUGGCCCCAAACUCGCACCGCGGCAAUGCCAUAGCGUGCCAACGACGAAUCUGGAUGGGGCCCAGAUCCACGACACACAAACUACCUCUCCAAGUGCCACAAAUGGUUGCCACACCGCAGAAUAAAUAGGAUGUCAUCGUCGCCUCCGCCAGUGAAUGUCGUCCUAGCCAUGCACUUCUAAAAUUUAAUUUUUGAGAUUAAUUUCCAUAUAUUAGUGCUUCUUCUUGAGAUUUGGUUUACCUCUCCAUGUUGAUGCACAUUUGAUUUCUGUGUUUUAGUUUGGUUAAAACUUGUGUUGUUAGAGUACGUAAUGGGCCUAAUGGGCCCAUUAGUCUUAGGGUUAAUUAGAGAUAAGGGUCGCUUGCUUAGGGGUCAAGUAAGCCUUGCUUGGGAGUCAAGUAAACCUCUCUAUAUAAAGAGAGGAGAUGUAUCAAUCUAAUAAAGCAAGAAUUAAGAAGGAAAUCUCUUCCCUCUUGCACGGCCGAGGGCAAAAAGGCCCCCGGCCGGCCCUCUCGCGUCCUCCUUCUAGCAGCGCCAUAACAAUUUGGUAUCAGCUAGCUUCGGUUCGAUCAUGUCUUCACCGCCGCCAAGCCCGUCUCUUUCGCUACUGGUCACCUUGUCGCCUCCGGCGACCACCACGACCGUCACCCCGCUCCUGCUCGCGUCGGGAUCCUCUGUCGCGCCCGCCCCCACCGUCCUCACCUAGGAGGAGGUGUCCGGGCUGCUGCGGGACCUAACCCAGGCGGUCCAAGAGAUCCACCUGUUUUUGGUCAGGUCCUACGGGCCGCACCCGGUUGCGCCGCCCAUCGUCGCCCCCACGCCGUCGUGGCUGCCAUGGUAGCCGCCGUACCAGGCGGUCUUCGCCACGCUCGCAGGGCCGCUACAGCAGUCGCCAUCCAUCGCCACCACCUCCCAGCCUUGGUUGCAGUGGCAGUCGCCGCUCCUAGCGGCCUCCGCCGCGCCCGGCGCUCCGCCACAGCAGCCGCUGCCGCUGCCCGGCGCGACAGCGCAGCAGCCGCUGCAGCUGCAGCAGCCACCGCCGGUCAGCUCCACCGCCCAGUAUGGGAUGCCCUAUGACGGGAGUGCGACGACCUCGUUCCCAUCAGUGUCGCCGCAUCCCAGGGCGUCCACAUCCAGCAGAUCAAGUCCCUGUCGUCGCCGUCACCGCUUCGGUCUUGGAUCGCUACCCGCCACAUGUCGGCGGCGGUGAGGCUGCAGGCUGCUGCGCGCGGCCUCCUAGCGCGUCGGCGUGUGCGGGAGAUGCGUGGUCUGCAGCUGCCGCUCCUCCAAGUUGCCCUUUGCUGUACAAAGGACCUCGAUCUCGUCCGCUGCGUCAGGGAUCUUGGGCAUGCAGUUUCACCCACGGGCGGCUGGCAUGCUGUUUUCCCCGCGGGCAGCGACCUCAAAGUCUGCGACAUCGGCGGUUGGGGGGCGCACCCCUCCUCGUCAUUCUCCAUCGCAAGCCCUCCACUCUUCCAUGUGCGGUGCAGACCAACAGCCAUACAUAUGCACUCAUUUUGUCCAGGUGGUGUCCAUGGAAUCCAGGUGGUUGUACACGUGCAUGUCCAAAAUAAAGCGUCCUAGUCUAUUUCAGAUUGAGAAUAAUAAAAAAAACAAGCCAAGAUGUAAAAGGCUUGUUUUUAGGUGUUAGAUUUGUGUUGCGUCGAGUCAUGGUUAUAAGUUGGUUAGGCUGCAGCUCGAGGACAAGCUGCAUGUCCAGGCGGGGUGUAGUGUUAGAGUACGUAAUGGGCCUAAUGGGCCCAUUAGUCUUAGGGUUAAUUAGAGAUAAGGAUCGCUUGCUUAGGGGUCAAGUAAGCCUUGCUUGGGAGUCAAAGUAAAGCUCUUUAUAUAAAGAGAGGAGAUGUAUCGAUCUAAUAAAGCAAGAAUUAAGAAGGAAAUCUCUUUCCUCUUGCACGGCCGUGGGCAAAAAGGCGCCCGGCCGGCCCUCUCGCGCCCUCUUUUUAGCAGCGCCAUAACAUGUAUUAUGCACAUAAAUAAGCUUGCAACAUAUUUUUGCAUUUGCUGGGAGCUAUCUUUGAAAAAUGUAAACUGAUCCAAGCCGAGAGUCCUUGACUGUCAAGAUGCAUCUAAUAACAAAUCAAAAUUGUAGUACUAUCCUGUCACGGUUACAUCACAUAAAAGUGAAUCACAACUAGAACUAGGAGAGAGGGAACGCGAACCAACCUGUUGUUGGAUGGUUAGAGGGACAGUGGUAUCCCCAUCUCGUAAAGGUUUAAGCCUUGGUGCUCGCAUUAUUUUUAAAUUUAUUUCAGGAUUUCUAACAAUAUGCUUUCAGUGAAAGGAGACGUUCCCGUCGACGUCAAGGCGUCUACAGUAACUUCGUAAAUCUCAAGAUAAUGUGCCGGCACAGUCUCAACUCAAAGUCAUAUUCAACCUAGCCCGGCUCUGCACACAUGUCCCCAAAAUCUCCUUCCAAAGAUCAGUUCCACCUCCUCAGAUUGCGACAAAUGGCACACUACAUAUGCACCAUUUGUCGCAACCCGUGAGUUUUCUCUUUUUUUAUAUAUCCAUUUAAAACGUUUUAUCUCUUAACCGUGCAUUCAAAUCUCAAACCGUUUUCAUUGUUGAAUUCUCGCGUCGAGACCUUCAAAACUAGAUCUCAUGUUGAUAGAUUUUCAUGAACUUUUUUUUACAAAAAGACAGAUGAAAAACCAAAAAAAAAAAUAGGAAUGUAUUAUUUUCCUUCCCUAAAGUCGUUUACGAGAGGCGCGGCAACGGAAGCAAAACCGUGCCUCUCGCGAAAAAAAUAGAAAAUGCGUUCUUUCUCCAUUUUCAAGAGGCACGACCAUGCCUCUAGCAGAAGCAAAACCGUACCUUUCAUUGAAGGAAUAAAAAGAUUUUUUUUUUACUUUCGAGAGGCACAGUUGUGCCUAUGACGGAAGCAAAAACAUGCCUCUCAUGAAAGGGAAAACAAACAGAAACACGUUUUUUUCAUUUCCGAAAGACACAGCCAUGCCUCACGCAAAAGAAAAAAGAAUACAUGUUUUUUUGUAAAGGCAUGAUCCGUGCCUCUCAUGAAAGCAAAUUCAUGUAUCAUGGAAGCAAAAAAGAACACAUGUUUUCUUUUUGUUUUCAAGAGACACAGCCGUGCCUCUCACAAAAGCAAAUCCAUGCUUCUCAUGAAAGCAAAACCGUGUCACUCGCGAAAGCAAAAAGAAACACAUUUUCCCGCAAGAAAGUAAUAUUUUCUCAAAGAAAAGAUUCAUCCAAAAGCUUAGAUAGACCUUUGAAAGACACAAAAGCCGAAAGAAACAAAAAAAACAAAAAGUCACCAAUCCAAGUUUAUGAAACAGAUGAAAAACUCAUAUGCAUGAAAGUCAUUUUAGAACAUGUGAACGUAUACAAAUGAAUAGUGUAAAACACACAUAUGAUUUUUUAAAUCUUUUCUCAAAUAUAAUUGAGCAGGACAAAUUACAAAAACAUGCCGAUAGACAUUGCUACAUAAAAAUUCUGACCAACUUACAAGAUGAGUUUUUCUACUUCUACUUACGCAUCAGCAGUCCGGCACAAUUAGGGAAGCUCAACCAUCUGUCAUGGUUAAUACUGGCUACAGACUAAGCAGACACACGCAUUAACCAUACAACAAGCCUACCUCAAACCCCAUUCGAACUCGGAGCAAACGCUACCGAUCUCCCUCCGUAGCCCUGGCCCAUCAUGUAUCAUGAUGCAAUCACGUGAUCUUAGCGGCAGCGCGCCAUUCACGAUAACACCCUUACAAGUUGGCAGAGGGAGAAAAAUGAGUCCUCAGAGCAUUGAGGACUCAGAAGUCCCAACGAUCAAGCUGCACCCUAGCUUCAGCCAUGUCCUUCUGUGCCUUCCUCCGCCGGUAGAAAAUAGGGCAGUCCCGACU